rnacentral:rRNA from 1 species
CCUACGGGAGGCAGCAGUGAGGAAUAUUGGUCAAUGGGCGCGAGCCUGAACCAGCCAAGUCGCGUGAGGGAAGACGGUCCUAUGGAUUGUAAACCUCUUUUGUCGGGGAGCAAAAGACGCCACGUGUGGCGGUCCGAGAGUACCCGAAGAAAAAGCAUCGGCUAACCCCGUGCCAGCAGCCGCGGUAAUACGGAGGAGGCGAGCGUUAUACGGAUUUAUUGGGUUCAAAGGGUGAGCAGGCGGAAGAUCAAGUCAGCGGUAAAAUUGAGGGGCUCAACCUCUUCGAGCCGUUGAAACUGGUUUUCUUGAGUGAGCGAGAAGUAUGCGGAAUGCGUGGUGUAGCGGUGAAAUGCAUAGAUAUCACGCAGAACUCCGGUUGCGAAGGCAGCAUACCGGCGCUCAACUGACGCUCAGGCACGAAAGUGUGGGUAUCGAACAGGAUUAGAUACCCUUGUAGUC